rnacentral:rRNA from 1 species
AUUGAACGCUGGCGGCAUGCUUUACACAUGCAAGUCGAACGGCAGCGCGGUCUUCGCCUUCGCUUCGAGUGGCCAACUGGCGAGUAAUUCAUCGGAACUUGCCCAUUUGUGUUGUAUAGCCCGGCCACAUCCGGAUUCAUACCCCAUUCGACCUUACGGUGAACGCGUGGGACCGAAAGACCUCCCGCCAUUGGUCCGUCCGAUGUCGGAUUAGCUAGUUGGUGGGGUAAAGGCUUACCAAGGCGACGAUCCGUAGCUGGUCUGAGAGGACGACCAGCCACACUGGGACUGAGACACGGCCCAGACUCCUACGGGAGGCAGCAGUGGGGAAUUUUGGACAAUGGGGGCAAGCCUGAUCCAGCCAUACCGCGUGCGGGAAGAAGGCCUUCGGGUUGUAAAGCGCUUUUGUUGGGGAAGAAAAGCUGUGGGCUAAUACCCCGGGGGGAUGACGGUACCGAAAGAAUAAGCACCGGCUAACUACGUG